UACGGAGGGGGCUAGCGUUGUUCGGAAUUACUGGGCGUAAAGCGCGCGUAGGCGGCUUUGUAAGUUAGAGGUGAAAGCCCGGAGCUCAACUCCGGAACUGCCUUUAAGACUGCAUCGCUAGAAUCAUGGAGAGGUGAGUGGAAUUCCGAGUGUAGAGGUGAAAUUCGUAGAUAUUCGGAAGAACACCAGUGGCGAAGGCGGCUCACUGGACCGGCAUUGACGCUGAGGUGCGAAAGCGUGGGGAGCAAACAGG
rnacentral:rRNA from 1 species